CACCGAUAAAAUAAACCGCUCGAGGACCCGUCAGCAAAUAUAUAUGCCAGAGAUAGUCUUCUCAACUCGGCUGACUCCAGUUCAAUAGCCCUGAAACUCGGUUACCAUGGACACUGGUAACGGUUCAAUGGCAAGCUUAGCCUCACAAAUAUGCAACCAUAUAGCCUCCAUCUUCUCCAAACCCAGUAUCCACCCACCAGCUUUGGACCUAAUGGUAGCAGAAUUGGCCUCCAUAGCGUCCCAAAAGGGUCGCGUUUUUCUGUAUGGUGUAGGCCGAGAGGGUUUAAUGUUGAAGGCCCUCUGUAUGCGCCUUGCUCAUUUGGGUCUCUCUGCUCACUUCGUCUUCGACAUGACUACUCCACCAAUUACUUCCAAAGACCUUCUCGUAGCAUCAGCUGGCCCUGGAGGGUUCUCCACUGUCGAUGCUAUUUGCUCGGUGGCACGGUCCCAUGGUGGUAGAGUUUUGUUGCUGACUGCCCAGCCUGAAACGGGAUCCAGUGUGAAGCAUGCAAAUGUGGUAGCGUAUGUUGCAGCCCAGACUAUGGCUGAUGAUGGCGGUGGGGAGAAAUCAAGGACAUUGCUGCCUAUGGGGAGUGUCUAUGAGGGGGCCAUGUUUGUGUUGUUUGAGAUGGUGGUUUACAAAUUGGGUGAGGUUUUGGGAGAGAGUCCUGAGGCCAUCCGAGCUCGACAUACCAAUCUUGAGUGACAAAAUCCCUGGUUUCGAUGCUCUAAAUCCUAUGUUACUUGGACUUGAGUGUGAAUAUCGGAUAUAUGCAUAUGUUCAACAUUUUUUUUCAUAUAUUAGGAAUGUACUUGGAGGCUCAUAUCCGGAUAGGUAUUGGGCAGCAUGGGUACUUUAGGGAACACAAUAGUUCAAGUCAAUUAUCCUGAUCUUAAUCAUGUUUAAUAAAAAAGAGAAACCUAUGCUCUAACGAACUAGGUCAUCUUGGGAGUUUUUAUAGUAGGUAGCAGAGUAAGAUCUAGCCUAAGAUCAAACUUUACUGUUCAUCAGCCAUCUCAAAUUCCUAACACCUGCCAAUAUUAUAUUUCUUCCUAAGAGAAAAAACUUUUAAUCAUAAUUGAUUACCAAUGUUCUUGAGGUUACUGAAAUUCACACUUUCAUCAGCAAUUGAAGUCUAAUAAAAAGCUUUGCAGAUACAUUGAUUACUUUAAUGCUGUCCUAAUUGAAUUCUUAUUAAUUCAGACAUUAAUAGCUGUCUCACCCCCAAGAAACUCCAGGAGGCUUCUGUUAGGCCAUUAGAUAGGGAUCUUAAGAGUGCUUGUGUUGAGCUUUGGAUGUUGAAGGUUUAUAAUUUGACAUGAAUUUUACAUGUAGGCAUAAUGGACCUAUCAUUUGGCAUAAUUGUUGCAUCGUAACCAUAAAAAAACCUAUCCCAAAUGGAGGAACAAAUAGGACAGCUUGCUUUGAUACCUGUUUGAAUAUUAAGAGAAUAAGAACAAUGAAUCCUCAAUAUAUUACAAGCUGGUAAUAUGUAUAGCCACAACCGAUUCUUCAGUAAUGAAAGAGUCAAAUGCAAGUUAAAUAAUAAAACUAUCCCUCUUUUAUUUUUUUGUGCUAGCAUCUAUUAAUUGCUUUUGAGUUGGGAUAUACGGAAAAGAUUUACACCCUUCUUCUAGCUUUUCUUAGAUGAAGUGCCGGUCUACUUCAAUGUGCUUUGUCCUGUCAUAUUGAACCAGGUUAUGAGCUAUACUGAUAGCAGCUUUGUUGUCACAGUGAAGUCUCAUAGGUGGAGAGUUAAAAGCCUUUAGGUCUGAGCAAUUUCUCAAACUAUAGCAAUCUUCUACCAGGUUUCGGGUUUGAGUGGAUUUACGCGCGUAGGUAUAUUUAGUCAAACAGCAUGGUAGUUGUUUGAAGAGAUCCGAUAUUGUUGUUGAAACUUGAAAAUUAGAAUAGAGUUAGCCAGGGAAUGUUGCAAGCUUGUUGUAUUAGAUAUCACCUUUGAUCCAAUUGGAGAAUAGCUAGCAAACGUCACAAUCUCUACUUAGCUGUUGGCUAUUGCAGCUGAAAUCAUACAAAACGUAAAUAGUAACGCUAGGUGCUUAAAUGUUUUGAUUCUACUUUCAUUCCAUUAGCAUUUUCUUAUAACGAUAUACGUACCAGUAUAUACGCGUUGGUUAAA